rnacentral:rRNA from 1 species
CCUACGGGAGGCUGCAGUGGGGAAUAUUGGACAAUGGGGGGAACCCUGAUCCAGCCAUGCCGCGUGUGUGAAGAAGGCCCUCGGGUUGUAAAGCACUUUCAGUGAGGAAGAACGCCUGGUGGUUAAUACCCAUCAGGAAAGACAUCACUCACAGAAGAAGCACCGGCUAACUCCGUGCCAGCAGCCGCGGUAUUACGGAGGGUGCGAGCGUUAAUCGGAAUUACUGGGCGUAAAGCGCGCGUAGGUGGCUUGAUAAGCCGGUUGUGAAAGCCCCGGGCUCAACCUGGGAACGGCAUCCGGAACUGUCAAGCUAGAGUGCAGGAGAGGAAGGUAGAAUUCCCGGUGUAGCGGUGAAAUGCGUAGAGAUCGGGAGGAAUACCAGUGGCGAAGGCGGCCUUCUGGACUGACACUGACACUGAGGUGCGAAAGCGUGGGUAGCAAACAGGAUUAGAUACCCGGGUAGUC